AAUUACUGGGCGUAAAGCGCGCGUAGGCGGGCCGAUAAGCCAGGGGUGAAAGCCCGGGGCUCAACCGGGGAACGGCCUUUGAAACUGGCAGGCUAGAGUAAGGGAGAGGAGACUGGAAUAUCCAGUGUAGCGGUGAAAUGCAUAGAUAUAACAAAGAACACCAAUGGCGAAGGCAGCUCACUAACCCAAUACUGACACUGAGGGACGAAAGCGUGGGGAGCAAACAGGAUUAGAUACCCUGGUAGUCCACGCCGUAAACGAUGGAUACUAGCCGUCCGGACUGCAAGAA
rnacentral:rRNA from 1 species